UGCCACGAUCCACUGAGAUUCAGCCCUU
rnacentral:ncRNA from 2 species